AGUCCGGGCUCCGAGUGGUCAGUCUCAGGCCUCCCGCCGCUCCGCGCGCACGCGCAGUACUCACCAACAGGUCCGCUGCGCCCAGGCAACCCGGCCCCCGUCGCCCCCUACCGGCCCGAGGCCUCCAACCAGCCAAUAGACUACGACAUCAGGUCAGCUCCAGUUCGUGAAGGACCCUUAAACAAUAGAAGCAACAACCAAAAAGACAUCAGAGGACAAAGGAAACCAAAUCUCACCAGACAGCUUGGGAUCUUCUGUUCACGCUGAAGAAAUAUCGAAUCCAUAUUUCAGAAAUCAAAUCCAUAUUUCAGAAAUUAAGAUUCUCGUGAGGAUUUAAGAAAAUUAUAUAAAGAAAGUGGCCUGAAGCCAGGCAUGUGGCAGCACAACACAUGAGAUCCUUCCAUCUGUUUUCUCUGGAUAUUCAAAAUUUUAAAGCAAGGAAUGUGUGAG